GGCUGGGUCCUACGCAAUGCCCACUCGUGAACCGAGUCAGGGGUGGAAGCCAGCAGCUCUCAGCGUGUCUGGGCGUGUGCCGUAGUCAACCUGGCCAUC
rnacentral:SRP_RNA from 1 species